UACGUAGGGUGCAAGCGUUGUCCGGAAUUAUUGGGCGUAAAGAGCUCGUAGGCGGCUUGUCGCGUCGGCUGUGAAAACCUGGGGCUCAACCCCGGGCCUGCAGCCGAUACGGGCAAGCUAGAAUUCGUGAGGGAGGACUGGAAUUCCUGGUGUAGCGGUGAAAUGCGCAGAGUAUCAGGAGGAACACCAGUGGCGAAGGCGGUUGCCUGGAGCUUUUUGCUGACGCUGAUGCGCGAAAAGCGUGGGGGGAGCGAUCGGAU
rnacentral:rRNA from 1 species